AGCCCCGUGGUGUAGUGGUCCAGCAUUGAGGGUUUUGGCCUCUCAGACCUAGGUUCAAAUCCUGGCGGGGCUA
rnacentral:tRNA from 1 species